rnacentral:lncRNA from 1 species
UUCAUCUCUCAUAAUCCAAUGGCCACGAACUGAUCUUGGACAUUAUAUAAAAGUGUCCGAAAAUCCAUCAGUAACCCUAGACCAACUUCAUCUUCUUCGUACCCCAUGUUCCUCCACCGUCUGCCGCCGUCCGGAAAUCGUCUCUGCCUGCGGCGAUGCUCCAAAUCUCACCAAAAAUACACCUUAGAUUCCACUCGUCCUCCUCUUUCCAUAUCUAACCUUAGUUUCCCUUAAAUCCUCACCAAAAGUUUCGAAUAUCAAAUCGAAAAAUUCGGCCAAAACACAAACUCGUCCAAUCGAUCCCAAAUCGAUACCAUAUAGUCUCUUAACCUUCCUCAACUCAAAUCCUCGGUCAAAACCCCUCGAAUCCCACCAAGCCUUCUCGAAUUUUUGAUCUAGGGUUAUUGUCAAGGGUUACUGGAAUUCUUAGGGUUAGCUCGGGCUCAUAUGGUUUUUAAAUUAUAUUAUGUAUUUUUUCUUGGUAAGAACAAACAUAUAAUAUUAUUUGAAGAUCAAUUGUGAAGUUAGCCGAGUUGGGUGCUCAAAACUAGUAAGUUGCUCAUUCUUCCUUUGUUAAAUUAUCCUCUCCAUGGCAGCUUUGCUUCAUUAAUUGAUUUUGUGUUAUCUAUUUGGAGUCAGUAAUCAAAGUCGUUUUUGAUUGUGUCAUUUUGAUUUGAAGUCUGUUGAAUGCUAACAUGUAUCUGUCAAUCUAAUUUUGGCACUCGCUUAAGUAUAGUUCUCGUUUAGUUUUCUAGGUUUCAGCUCAAAAUUUGUUUUUCGUCUUUAGUCGGUAAUGUUCUUCCUCACUGGGUUGAUUCUAUUUCAUGAUUGAUUGAUUCCGUUUCAUUUUAGUUUUUAUUAGGUUUGAUUCUCUGUUAGCUUGAUUCAAUUUUUUAUUGGAUAAUCUGAUUUUUUUAAUUCUUGGAAUGAUUUGGGUAGUAAGUGAGUGUGAUUAGUAUAGGUUUAAUUUCGUUUAAGGUGGCUUUCUUUGGUUGAUUCUGGUUAAGUAUUGCUGAUCUUUAUCUUUGUUAGUAUUUGAUUUGUGACGUUUUAAUUCAGCCCAAUUGGGCUUAAUCUGUAAGUAUCAUUGUAUAAUUAAGUAGCUCAUUUGGUAUUUAGGCUUAGCUUAGGAUGAUUGGAUGCAGUUGAAUCUAGUUAAAUUUAGUUAAUUCAUAGCUUGGGUAAGGGUUUGGUUAGUUAAUUGAGGUUAGUAAUUUUAAGAGGUAAUAAGGGUAGUUUGGGAAUGAGAAAAGGGUAGUUUCUUGAAGAACCCUAAUUUCAAAGUAGGGGUAAGGGUAGUAUGGGUAUUUUGGGGAUAGAAGAGCAUCCUAGGGCCUUCUAGAAGGGUACUUUAUUGUAGAUGUUUGCGCAAUAGAGGUAUUUACUUGUUGAGCAAGUCAAAAAUAAAGGGACCAAACUGAAAAUAGAAAAAGACUAAAAAAAAGAUCAAAAAAAUAUGAUUUACCCCCUUCUUGUUGCCUAUAAAAGCGCAUCAAAUGCCUUGGGGAAGGGGUUUUUUUUUUCAGCCCAAAAAUCCCCAUCCAAAGCUCUCCUCCUUCCUUUCAAUUUCAGUUAGCAUUUUAAUUCCAAUACUCAAAAAAUACAAAAAAAAAAACUUCAGAAAAUUAGAAAACAAACAAAAAUAAUAAAAUAAAAAAUGAAAAACCAAAAAUGGAUAUUGUUUCGUUGAGAAUUUUGCAGAUUUGAUGCUAUUCACUGUUAUUUCUCUUCAUACUCUUAUAGUUUCUGUUAAAUUCUGAGUUUACAAAAAUGGUGUGGUCUGGUUCAAGUGAUUCCACCUCUGCGGGGUUUAAAUUUGGGUUGAUUUUGGAGUUUUGGUCUUGUUUUUGUCAUUGGACGUGUACUAGAAUUAUCCUGAGGCUACAGUUCUAUUGUGGGCUUGUGUUAAGUUCAAUUGAAUCCCCUGAUUUGAGUAACUGCUGUUGUUUUUGGUUUUCAAACCCCUUCUGGGUUAUGAACUAAUUCCUUGGGCUGUCUAUGGUUUCUACUCGCAUCUCUACUAGUUUGUUGAUAUAGUGCUGCUGCUGAUUUUCUUUUUCUGUGGCAAAUUCCAUUUCCAGGUACCAUUUUGAACUCAUUGCAAUGUAGUGAGUUGGAAGAUUAAAUAAAGAAGUCUCAUGGAUUUUAUGUGAUUAUAAGUGCCUCCUGUUGACUGCUUCAGAGCUGUAUUAAUGUUGUAGUUUCAUUUGAUUUUAUAUGAAUUCAAUCGCAGUUGUAAAGUUAUAGAAUUAGGACACUGACAGUUUGCUUGGAAUUGGUUUAAACUGGGAUUACUAUCAAGCUAUAUGGAUUGUGUUAACUAGAACAUUAAUUGUGAUCUGUUUAAUCCUAGACCUUACAGCUUUCAUUUGAAAUCAUGUGCUAAUCAUUAUAUUGUCGUUAUUUCCAGUUUACUGUGCAUUUAAAAGUAAUUGAUUUCAGGCCAAAUUGAUUUCGUUAAUAAAAUAAACAUGUUUGGUUCAUGUGAGUAAUAGGGUAUAAUAUUGAUACCAUGUUUAAUUGAUUGCAAGAAUUUGUAGAGUUUGUCUCGAACAGUUGAUACGUUUUUGUUUGUGAAUCAAAUUGUCAUGCUAUUUGAGGGUUCAAUGUAAGUCAAUAAGUAUAAUAAUUGGGAUGCGAACUAAGCCCCAUAACGUUUUGCACAUCUGGAUUCAUUGAGAGUCUAUUCUAUCAAUCGUUAUUUGCUGCUUGGGAUAUCGGAUCCCCAAGAGCCUUUGGGCUGUGUUACGUGAACUGAAGUCCCAGUCCCAUGACAUGUAUUUGGAAAUUGGGUUUGGGUAUUACUCCGAAUUUGGUCUUGCCUUGUAUGUCGUUUGAUUUGAGUUGGUUGGGGCAGGGAUUAAAUGACUACUGAUUCGUUGGUUGUUUUUGAGUGACACAUUUGGACUUCGAAUU